rnacentral:lncRNA from 1 species
AGAUGCUACGGAGAUGCUUCAGCCUUGGACACCACGUGGGUGGGUCUCAUCCAAUCACCUGAAAGCCUGAAAAGUACAAAAAAAGGCUGAAGCGCUUGCAAAGUAAGAGGGAAUUUCCUCCUGC